UACGGGGGGGGCAAGCGUUGUUCGGAUUUACUGGGCGUAAAGGGCGUGCAGGCGGUCUGUUAAGUGCAGGGUGAAAGCUCCCGGCUCAACUGGGAGAGGUCCUUGCAUACUGGCGGACUUGAGGGGGGUAGAGGAAAGUGGAAUUCCCGGUGUAGCGGUGAAAUGCGCAGAUAUCAGGAGGAACACCGGUGGCGAAGGCGGGUCUCUGGGCCGUAACUGACGCUGAGGAGCGAAAGCGUGGGGAGCGAACAGG
rnacentral:rRNA from 1 species